AUGAACGCUGGCGGCGUGCCUAAUACAUGCAAGUCGAGCGAACGGACGAGAAGCUUGCUUCUCUGAUGUUAGCGGCGGACGGGUGAGUAACACGUGGAUAACCUACCUAUAAGAUUGGGAUAACUUCGGGAAACCGGAGCUAAUACCGGAUAAUAUUUUGAACCGCAUGGUUCAAAAGUGAAAGACGGUCUUGCUGUCACUUAUAGAUGGAUCCGCGCUGCAUUAGCUAGUUGGUAAGGUAACGGCUUACCAAGGCAACGAUGCAUAGCCGACCUGAGAGGGUGAUCGGCCACACUGGAACUGAGACACGGUCCAGACUCCUACGGGAGGCAGCAGUAGGGAAUCUUCCGCAAUGGGCGAAAGCCUGACGGAGCAACGCCGCGUGAGUGAUGAAGGUCUUCGGAUCGUAAAACUCUGUUAUUAGGGAAGAACAUAUGUGUAAGUAACUGUGCACAUCUUGACGGUACCUAAUCAGAAAGCCACGGCUAACUACGUG
rnacentral:rRNA from 1 species